CGGGUGAGUAACACGUGAGCAACCUGCCUUUCAGAGGGGAAUAACGUUUGGAAACGAACGCUAAUACCGCAUAACAUUGGGAUAUGGCAUCAUGACCCAAUCAAAGAUUUAUCGCUGAAAGAUGGGCUCGCGCCCGAUUAGGUAGUUGGUGAGAUAAUAGCCCACCAAGCCGACGAUCGGUAGCCGGACUGAGAGGUUGAACGGCCACAUUGGGACUGAGACACGGCCCAGACUCCUACGGAAGGCAGCAG
rnacentral:rRNA from 1 species